UUUGAUGAGAAGAAUAAACCUCAUUCUGUCUCAACUGUAGAGAUCAAUGAAAAGACUUCUGUCUUCUUGCCACCAGAUAUAUGUUACCUGCACUUAAAGAAUUGAAAACACGAAUCUAAGGAGUGUUCUCUUGGGAAGAGUAG
rfam:Pteropus vampyrus cont1.140985, whole genome shotgun sequence.